ACCCUCUGGUUCCCUUUUCCAUCUGACUGGAACAUGGGUCUUGAUGGUAGUACAAGAAACAAAAAUGAUGCUGAAGCUGGCUUCACAGUGUUGUAGUCUGAUAUACAGCAUAGGGCCAACCUCAAACAAGG
ensembl:snoRNA